rnacentral:lncRNA from 1 species
GGGAGGGUCCGAGUACUAGAACGACAUUGCCACGACAUGACUCAUCUCUGCCACUGCAUCGCUCUUGUUCGAUGCAGCUUCGUCAGGGGCAAACAUCUCAGGACCAUGGCACGGGCUUGGAUUCGAUGCCCGUGUAGUUUCUUUCCCCUAACCCAUAUGCGUACACAGGAUAUGAUGCAUACACCCAAGAUGAGGGAUCUCAGCCGUUUCUCUCCACGCGAGGGAUCCCCAUGCCCGAGGAGACUCGUGUACCAGAUUUAAACCAGCACCAAGUACAAUCGCCAGACAGUAUAGGAGAGGGAUAUGCUUAGGUAGUCAUGUUUACAUUUCAAUGCAUUUACAAUGAUAUCAUAUAUUAUCCUCUAAUAGUUUGUUUAAAAUGUUUCUAUGUGCAGGACACACCUGAUGUUAAUUGGGACGAUGAGAACACCCAACGCGGCGUCAACACAGGCCUCCGGGGAGCAUCACAUGAUCAUGGCGUCAACACAGGCCUCCGGGGAGCAUCACAUGAUCUUGGCGACACGGUUACAUCAUUAGUUACAGAGUUCUUCGGAGAGGAUGUUAUUGGCCCAUCUUUUAUCCCCCGGAGUCACAACCAUACGCCUACAAUUACGCUUCAGGUUCGCAACAAGGAUUCGCGACUCCAUCACCUACGCAGGACUCGCAGACACAUGAAGCCGAAUUGGAGUACGGCCGCGGUCUUCGUGUGACUCGGCCACCUAAUCGCUUGUCGCCUUCCGGUCGUAAGGAAAGGCCAGGUGGUCGUCGUAAAGUAGGGUGAUUCAUCUAUGCACGUGCACGACCCAUUGUAUCUAUAUAUGUGUGUAUCAGACUUUUCGAUUUGAACAUCUAUGUUUGCUGAAAUAAAAAUGCACCAGUCAGGAACAAUUUUUCCCGCCUAUAUCUCCCGCCA